rnacentral:lncRNA from 1 species
CAGUAACAGUCGCUAUGAGUCUGUUUCAGAUCAAAGUGGGAGUGUUCAGAGUUGAUCCUUUAAAUGAGCGUGGGAGUGACGGUCCACCCAAACCCUCUUCAUAAAGUUGAUAAACCAGUGGUAAAACAGGCUGAAACCCGAGCAGGCCAAAGACCAGCAUGGGUUUGGUCCAAGGCUGAGCUGGAUGGAUGGUCCAGAGGGAGAGGAGCGAGGUCUGAGCCCGCCCAGAGAAAAACCCUGUUGGCUAGCUGUAGUUGGCUGCUCUGGUCCAGUCCCAAGCCUAACAGCAUCAAAAGACACUAUGAGGCCCUCUUCACACCCCUGCUGGGAGGAAUAACCAAAGAGAAGUUUGGCUGGUGGAGCUGAGGCAGUGUUGAUAGGAGCUUCCCUGAAGUCUCACAGACAGACAGACAGACAGACAGACAGACAGGCAGUUUGGAAUUGGAAAUAAACUCAACACACUAUCACAGUUUAUUGUGAAAUAGACACAAAUGACUUAUUCUAAAUAUAUGUGCCAUGCACACGAAAAACUCCACUUUUUUAAAUUGAUUUUUUAUUUCACCUUUAUUUAACCAGGUAGGCCAGCUGAGAACAAGUUCUCAUUUAAAACUGCAACUUGGCCAAAGCAGUGCGACACAAAAAAUGCAGAGUUACACAUGGGAUAAACAAACGUGCAAUCAAUAACACAAUAGAAAAAUCUAUAUACAGUGUGUGCAAAUGUAAACUCAGCAAAAAAAGAAACGCCCCAUUUUCAGGACCCUGUCUUUCAAAAGAUAAUUCUUAAAAAUCCAAAUAACUUCACAGAUCGUCAUCGUAAAGGGUUUAAACACUGUUUCCCAUGCUUUUCAAUUAACCAUAAACAAUUAAUUAACAUACACCUGUGGAACGGUCGUUAAGACACUAACAGCUUAAAGAUGGUAGGCAAUUAAGUUAUGAAAGUUAUGAAAACUUAGGACACUAAAGAGGCCUUUUUACUGACUGAAAAACACCAAAAGAAAGAUGCUCAGGGUCCCUGCCCAUCAGCGUGAACUUGCCUUAGGCAUGCUGCAAGGAGACAUGAGGACUGCAGAUGUGGCCAGGGCAAUAAAUUGCAAUGUCAGUACUGUGAGGCCUAAGACAGCACUAUAGGGAGACAGGACGGUCAGCUGAUCGCCUCACAGUGGCAGACCACGUGUAACAACACCUGCACAGGAUUGGUACAUCCAAACAUCACACCUGCGGGACAGGUACAGGAUGGCAACAACAACUGCCCGAGUUACACCAGGAAAGCACAAUCCCUCCAUCAGUGCUCAGACUGUCCGCAAUAGGCUGAGAGAGGCUGAACUGAGGGCUUGUAGGCCUGUUGUAGGCUUGGUCCUCACCAGACAUCACCGGCAACAAUGUUGCCUACGGGCACAAACCCACCGUCACUGGACCAGACAGGACUGGCAAAAAAGUGCUCUUCACUGACGAGUCACUGUGUUGUCUCACUAGGGGUGAUGGUCGGAUUCGCGUUUAUCGUUGAAGGAAUAAGCGUUACACCGAGGCCUGUACUCUGGAGCGGGGUUCGAUUUGGAGGUGGAAGGUCCGUCAUGGUCUGGGACGGUGUGUCACAGCAUCAUCGGACUGAGCUUGUUGUCAUUGCAAGCAAUCUCAAUGCUGUGCGUUAAAGGGAAGACAUCCUCCUCCCUCAUGUGGUACCCUUCCUGCAGGCUCAUCCUAACAUGACCCUCCAGCAUGACAAUGCCACCACCCAUACUGCUCGUUCUGUGCGUGAUUUCCUGCAAGACAGGAAUGUCAGUGUACUGACAUUGCCAGCGAAGAGCCCGGAUCUCAAUCCCAUUGAGCACGUCUGGGACCUGUUGGAUCUGAGGGUGAGGGCUAGGGCUAUUCCCCCCAGAAACGUCUGGGAACUUGCAGGUGCCUUGGUGGAAGAGUGGGGUGACAUCUCAUAGUAAGAACUGGCAAAUCUGGUGCAGUCCAUGAGAAGACGAUGCACUGCAGUACUUAAUGCAGCUGGUGGCCACACCAGAUACUGACUGUUACUUUUGAUUUUGACCCCCCU